rnacentral:rRNA from 1 species
CGAAGGAUCCAAGCGUUAUCCGGAUUUAUUGGGUUAAAGGUGCGUAGGCGGGCUAUUAAGUCAGUGGUGAAAGGCCCCAAGCUUAACUUGGGAAUUGCCAUUGAUACUGAUGGUCUUGAGUACACUUGAAGUGGGCGGAAUGUGUCAUGUAGCGGUGAAAUGCUUAGAUAUGACACAGAACACCGAUUGCGAAGGCAGCUCACUAAAUUGUAACUGACGCUGAGGCACGAAAGCGUGGGGAUCAAACAGGAUUAGAUACCCUGGUAGUCCACGCCCUAAACGAUGAUUACUCGAUGUGUGCAAUACACCGUACGCGUCUGAGCGAAAGCAUUAAGUAAUCCACCUGGGGAGUACGACCGCAAAGGUUG